rnacentral:rRNA from 1 species
UACGUAGGGCGCAAGCGUUGUCCGGAAUUAUUGGGCGUAAAGAGCUCGUAGGCGGCUUGUCACGUCGGGUGUGAAAGCCCGGGGCUUAACCCCGGGUCUGCAUUCGAUACGGGCAGGCUAGAGUGUGGUAGGGGAGAUCGGAAUUCCUGGUGUAGCGGUGAAAUGCGCAGAUAUCAGGAGGAACACCGGUGGCGAAGGCGGAUCUCUGGGCCAUUACUGACGCUGAGGCGCGAAAGCGUGGGGAGCAAACAGG